UUGAAUCACAUUGAAGACACCUGUUCUCGUUCGAUCACCGAAGUUAAGCAAUAUUGAGCCGGGUCAGUAGUUAAAUGGGAUACCGCUUGGGAACACUGG